CCUACGGGAGGCAGCAGUGAGGAAUAUUGGUCAAUGGGCUUACGCCUGAACCAGCCAAGUCGCGUGAGGGAAGACUGCCCUAUGGGUUGUAAACCUCUUUUGCCAGGGAGCAACGCCGGCUACGUGUAGCCGGACUGAGAGUACCUGAAGAAAAAGCAUCGGCUAACUCCGUGCCAGCAGCCGCGGUAAUACGGAGGAUGCGAGCGUUAUCCGGAUUGAUUGGGUUUAAAGGGUGCGUAGGCGGAAUGCCAAGCCAGCGGUAAAAUCGCGGGGCUCAACCUCGCUCCGCCGUUGAAACUGGCGUUCUUGAGUGGGCGAGAGGUAUGCGGAAUGCGUGGUGUAGCGGUGAAAUGCAUAGAUAUCACGCAGAACUCCGAUUGCGAAGGCAGCAUACCGGCGCACAACUGACGCUGAAGCGCGAAAGCGUGGGUAUCGAACAGGAUUAGAUACCCUUGUAGUC
rnacentral:rRNA from 1 species